GAUCUUCUCCUUCAUGGGAGAUGAUUGAAAGAUGGUUUCGGCUAUCACUUACAGAUGGGCCCGCGGUAGCAUUAGCUAGGAUUUGGUGCAGGUAACGGCUCACCAAGGCAACGAUGCAUAGCACGACCUGAGAGGGUGUGGUUUAAUCGGAGCCACACUGGGACUGAGACACGGCCCAGACUCCUACGGGAGGCAGCAGUAGGGAAUCUUCCGCAAUGGACGAAAGUCUGACGGAGCAACGCCGCGUGAGUGAUGAAGGCUUUCGGGUCGUAAAACUCUGUUGUUAGGGAAGAACAAGUACAAGAGUAACUGCUUGUACCAGUUGACGGUACCUAACCAGAAAGCCACGGCUAACUACGUGCCAGCAGCCGCGGUAAUACGUAGGUGGCAACGCGUUAUCCGGAAUUAUUGGGCGUAAAGCGCGCGCAGGCGGUUUCUUAAGUCUGAUGUGAAAGCCCACGGCUCAACCGUGGAGGGUCAUUGGAAACUGGGGAACUUGAGUGCAGAAGAGAAAAGCGGAAUUCCACGUGUAGCGGUGAAAUGCGUAGAGAUCGUGGAGGAACACGCAGUGGCGAAGGCGGCUUUUUGGUCUGUAACUGACGCU
rnacentral:rRNA from 2 species